rnacentral:lncRNA from 1 species
GUCAACUGGGGGUGUGGGUGUAGUGCCAGCGAAGUCUUGCGUGUAUUAAGCCUCCCUUGCAUUUCACGUCAAGGCAAGCCUCCCACAUCUGAGAAGAGUAUAUGCCCUAGAGUGCAGCUGCAUGAUGAUACACUCCCUGGAUGUACAGUUAUCACAAAAGGAAUUACGAGAGAAACAAUGACUUAGAUGAGCACAGUAGAAAAUGCAAGCAGGAAACCUUUGAGAUGGCCAUUAGAGAAUUUGGCAAGGAGUUGCUUCACGAGCAUUAAGGAGUCUUUCACACAAGAUGCCCCUACUUGUGGAAGUCAUUAAAUCUAUGAAAUGUAAACCUUAAAAAUAUCUUGUAACACGUAUGACAUAGCCCUGGAUUAUUUUAACUACAUAAGCAUCAAAUGAUACUGUCUGUGUUUGAAAUAA